GUGGGCUGGAACGGAAGCUGCCGGUUAAGAAGGCCUGGGCGGCCUCCACGCUGAAGGCGCCCACAGAACGGGCCGAGCACCGUCCCCGCCUCCCGCGGACACCCCCGCCCCCGCCCUGCUCUGCUCUGCGAGGCGCUUUCCCAGGGAGCUCUUAUGACGACUGGGAACUGGAGGCUCCCAGGAAGCCCCGCCCAAGCACAGGCCGGCCAGGGGGAGGCGCUACCACCACCCGAUGGAGAUGAGCCUCCCCACCGCCCACCGCCCGAGAGCCCUCAGCUGGGCGAGCGCUCCCUCCCGGCACCUCUGGGAGCCGGCGGGCAGUGACUGCCAACAGCGCAGGCCCCAGAGCGCGUGCCCGAUGCGGCCCCACAAGCUGCCUGGCCGCGCGUGUGCUCUGCGUCAGGGGCUGGCGACGCAUUAAUCCCCCUGGAGUGUCACCUCCAUUGGUCGCCACCACAACCCUAUGGAGCAGGCGCUGUGAGCGGCACCUCACGUUACAGACAAGGAGUCAGAGGCCCAGAGGAGCCUGCAGUGCCGGCUGGGGGCUCAGGGGGUGCGUGUCAGUCCAUGAUCCAGGUCACUGGAUGGAUUCCUGGACUGAGGACUCGUCCUGCGUAGGGACGUGCAGGAGGCAGCCAGUGGAGGCUUCUCUAUCCUCCCUUUCUCUCUCUGUCUCCUCUCUCACUCUCUCUCUCCAAUCAAUUUUUAAAAUAUUUUUUUAAAAAAGAGACACUAGUAGCUCCCUGGAACUCCAAAGCUAAGAAGGGGCAGAGCUGGACUCAAAGCCGACCCCUCUGUUAACGGGAGUCGCCCUCGGGCCCCGUGUGCAGCGGCCUCCGGGGGCCACCCCCUCAUGGGGGCCACCCGGCAGCGGGGAAGCCCUCCGGCCUGCCAUCUGCCUUCCUGUUGUUUGCUUUUCAGGGUGUCUGUGUCCGGCCGCCUCUGCUGACUUUCCUGCAGGGAGUAAACUGGGGAUGGCAUGUCUGGUUGGCAUGACAACAAUUCCUACAGGAACCAGAGACGACCCGUUUUCCCAGGCAGGCGGCUCACCUUGCUCUUGCUUGAAGAGGAUGCUGUACUGAAAAGAACAGGAGCCACAUUAAACCAAGGGAGCGUGGAAGGGAGGGGGAGAGACAGAGAAACACUGAUGUGAGAGACACAUCGAUGGGCUGCCUUUGCACAGGCCCCACCCGGGGCUGGGGAUGAGCCUGCAACCGAGGUACCUGCCCUUGCCCGCAGUCGAACCCAGGACCCUCCGGUCCCCAGGCUGACGCGCUUUCCACUGAGCCAAAGGGGUCGCGACCCACAGGCUGAGAACCGCUGCUAGACAAUAAAAAAGUAACCAUUCUCG